GACGUAGGGCGCGAGCGUUGUCCGGAUUUAUUGGGCGUAAAGAGCUCGUAGGCGGCUUGUCGCGUCGUCCGUGAAAACUCGGGGCUCAACUCCGAGCUUGCAGUCGAUACGGGCAGGCUAGAGUUCGGCAGGGGAGACUGGAAUUCCUGGUGUAGCGGUGAAAUGCGCAGAUAUCGGGAGGAACACCAAUGGCGAAGGCAGCUCGCUGGGACGUGACUGACGCUGAGACGACGAAAGCGUGGGGAGCAAACAGG
rnacentral:rRNA from 1 species